rnacentral:lncRNA from 1 species
UUUUUUUUUUUUUUUGAGAGAUAGGUAGCACGCUACCCGCUUCGUUUAUUUCAUUUAGAAAUAAACUUAGCUGAAAAUAUGAAUCAACUAGGAUUCGAACUUAGGUCUCGGAUACCAAUCACCAAGCCCUUUGCCACUUGCUCUAGGGACGGUCGGUGAUUUACAAUUUCUCAAAAGUUUUAUAGUUUAUGUCUCAAAACGAGAAAUAUUUUGAAAUAUACUACAUGAUGCACAACGCAUAACUCACA